GAUGAACGCUGGCGGCGUGCUUAACACAUGCAAGUCGAACGGAAAGGCUCCUGCUUGCAGGGGUACUCGAGUGGCGAACGGGUGAGUAACACGUGGGUGAUCUGCCCUGCACUUCGGGAUAAGCCUGGGAAACUGGGACUAAUACCGGAUAGGACGAUGGUUUGGAUGCCAUUGUGGAAAGUUUUUUCGGUGUGGGAUGAGCUCGCGGCCUAUCAGCUUGUUGGUGGGGUAAUGGCCUACCAAGGCGUCGACGGGUAGCCGGCCUGAGAGGGUGUACGGCCACAUUGGGACUGAGAUACGGCCCAGACUCCUACGGGAGGCAGCAGUGGGGAAUAUUGCACAAUGGGCGCAAGCCUGAUGCAGCGACGCCGCGUGGGGGAUGACGGCCUUCGGGUUGUAAACUCCUUUCGCUAGGGACGAAGCGCAAGUGACGGUACCUUGAGAAGAAGCACCGGCUAACUACGUG
rnacentral:rRNA from 1 species